GGUGAGGUGACGGAUCACCAAACCUUUAACCGGUACGGACCGUAAGAGCGUGAGCCCGGAGAUGGGCACUGAGAUAAGGGCCCAGGCCCUACGGGGCGCAGCAGUCGCGAAAACUCCGCAAUACACGAAAGUGUGACGGGGCCAUCCCGAGUGCCAUCCGCUGAGGAUGGCUUUUCCCUAGUAUAUAAAGCUGGGGGAAUAAGGAGAGGGCAAGCCUGGUGUCAGCCGCCGCGGUAA
rnacentral:rRNA from 1 species